rnacentral:rRNA from 1 species
UACGUAGGGGGCUAGCGUUGUCCGGAAUCAUUGGGCGUAAAGCGCGCGUAGGCGGCCCGGUAAGUCCGCUGUAAAAGUCAAAGGCUCAACCUUUGAAUGUCAGUGGAUACUGCCGGGCUAGAGUCCGGAAGAGGCGAGUGGAACUCCCUGGUGUAGCGGUGGAAUGCGCAGAUAUCAGGAAGAACACCGACGGCGAAGGCAGCUCGCUGGGACGGUACUGACGCUGAGGCACGAAGGUCAGGGGAGCAAACGGG